UGCUACAGAACUCUUCAUCAUCUACAAAUCCCAUUGAAGGGAGAGACUACUUCAUGAAUCACUGCAGUUUACAGCCAUUGGCGUAUGGUGGAAGGACUUGCUCAAUCUGCUUGGCCACAUUAUGGGCACAUCUUCCCUGGAUGUCAAGUCUUGGGUGAGACUCAAAUCUGGAGCUUCUGCUAGUGGUGCUAUCCACUGCCCUGCAAUUCCGAGGUGGAAAACUGGCCAGGAUUUCUGUUCCUGAUCCUUGGUAUGUGAGGUGAAGGAGGAACAGCAUACGUCAAGGGGUCAGCAAUGCCCAGGAGAUUGACCAGGAGAAAGUGAGGUCUGCAGAUGCUGGAGAUCAAAGUUGAAACUUUAUUGCUGGA